AGUAAAGGAUUUGUUAUGGUCCAAAGAAAGAAAACUUUAUUCUGUGUUUAUCGAUCGCGGAUUUCUUGCUCCCCUAAAUUUCUUUCACGAUUCGGCAUAGAAAGAAGAUUGGCUCGAUCACGAUUCCACUGUCAGAAGAAACAAUUUCAUCCAUUAAACAAAUAAUCAACAAAGAUUUAGAGAUUUAUCAGCAGGAAUUUUCGGAAAUUGGUCGACCAGAUUUCGAGCUUCAAUUCGUUUGGAAUUUGCAGGAUAUUGGCUUUAACAGUCGAAAAUGGCAAUCAGCAAGUCAAUUAGAAGGGAAAAUGGCUUUAAGAACAUUACAGAUGGUAGCUUCCCAGCUAUCUUUUUGUCUCCCCUGUGUCUAUGGCAAUGUAUGAUGGUAACCGGGGUGGACAGAGAAGGGCGCAACUACCUAUGGAUGAACUUCUGCCUCAAAGACUUAUUUGCAUCCUCCAUGUUACUCCGUGCCCAUUAUUUUUUUGACAUAUGACUUACGAUGUUUACGAAUUUAUUUGGUGGUGUGGUGGGUUUCUGGUGUUAAUAACCACCAAAGGUACUGAUUAAGGUUCUCAAGGAAAUACAAAGUUGUGUCCCAGAAGUGAACCAAAUCCAACAUCAUUUGGAGAAAAACACCACUGCUUUAUCCACAUCAACCCUGCCGCCAAUACUUGAAGACUGUUUAUAGAACCUUUCCCUAUCACUGCAGCAGAGGCUCCCAACAAAUUGUCAUGAAAGUGGAUGCAAUGACUUUUUGUGGUAUUUUAACCUCUUCAACUAAGAGAUCUUUGGAAAAAAAAAGUUUUAGAGGUUUCUGUUGGAGGAGACCUACUGGGAGUCGAUAAUCAAGAGUUCCUAAUUUGGUGGACGAUUGUAGUCGGAUCGUCAAAUUGUAUUGGGGCUGAGUAUUUGCAUGGUCUCCAAUGCAUGCAGUCCAAUUAGGCAUGGCAAUGAAGAAUAUGGCUGCUGCAGGUAUGGUUGUAAAAGAAGCAGAUUGAGAAAGUUUGCCGCAUAAUUCAAGUCUUUUGAUCUUCCACUCAUCCACUGAACACCUUUAUGUUUAUUUCUGCAGCAAAUAUGCCACCAAAAGAUGCCUAUCUCAACGUUAGCAGUAGAGGGUCGAUGGCACGGCGGAAGCGUAGAGAAAAGGAGAAGGAAAAACAGCCCAUCACGAAACCAAAUCCGCAAAAUUUACAUGUUGAUGUUUUACUCCGGCAUCAAUUGGUAGGUACGUCCAGAUAUUACGAGAUGUGAUGCUUAGAGACUUGAUUGGAAAAAGGGUUAUUAAGUAAUGGUUGUAGCAGCACCAUGACAGCUUGAUUUUGCUCGGUAUACUUUUCGGGUUCUUGAAGCGAGGAUUGUUACUAGAGCAUAUUGGUGAAGACACAAAUGGAUUGUUCGUUUAGUUUAUGUUGGAUUCACUGAUGGGGACACGAUGAAGUCUUGACUACGAGUUCCAGUUUGAUAAAAUGCUGAAAGGGAAACACUGAAUCAGAAAUGGCAGAGCAAAUGAAGUGUAGCGCUCAAAAGUUCAACUUAUCUUAUCUCAAUAACGUAUAAUCACAGAGGAAUGCUACCAGAAACUGAUAUCUUGGAAUCAGAGGAGUAUCCGAUGUUGAGUACAACGUGUUGAGUGGAGCCUUUUUUGAGAGAUAUCGAGUCACUAUAGCAGAAAUGAAUGCAGACUGUAAUUGAGUAGACUAUAAUUCGUAGUGAUCACAGUAUGGACGUUUUUCCCAUGCUAAAGACUUUUCACCACCGUACUAUGCCAUUGUAUGGGUGAAGCUGAGAUCCUUCAGAGGAUAAGAGCAUGUCCUCUUUACAAGUUCAUAUUAGUCGAGGUUCUGUCGUUUGUAAGUAAACGAAGAAUUUGUCACUUAUCAAUUUUCUAUCGAAGUUCCAGCACCGUUGAUUUUGUAAGCUCAAUUUAGUUCGUCGUUUACGCUAUACAGACUAGGGACUGGGAGAGGCCAAUACAGAAGGAACAACACUCAGAACCCGACAAAAAUUUCUUGAGCUUUUGUGGCAAUAUCCAUUCCGUGCUUUGGAAGAGGUUAAUAAUCGAACCAUUGUGGCUCAUUAAAUCCUAAUCCACUACCUUCGAUGUUAACUGAUUCAGAUUUUUUCAUGCGACUACAUAUUAAUUUCUGUGAGAAAGGUAAUAUAUUUUCUUUUGUACUCCACAAUGAAUCACUUUUCUACUUUAAAAAAUCAUUAUGUACUUAAGUAUGUUAACAAGUAGUUUUGAGACUAGGCAAUAUCAGGGGAUGACAUUAUGAAUACUACCAGGGUCAUGGCUUAGAAAACAUGGCUUACCUGCUCCAUGAGGUGUCUCCUGAAAAUAUAAUCUAAUAAAAAAAGUGGUCAUGAUCUAUCUUUACUUGGAAUUAUAGCAGUCUACAAUUUUACCUAGAGUGCUUCUAUAGAUUUUUUUUUGUGUUGUAUUAUUUCUCUGGGAUUUAAUUAAAACCAUUGUCAAUGGUUUUUUUGGUUACUCAGUAGCAUCGAUUCCUCCAUUCCUACUAACUUGAACAUUGAACAUUGAUUUUGUCUUCAAUAUCAGGGGAUGACAUUGAACGUUAGUCAUGUUUGGUAUUUAUUAUGUUGGAUGUAAGCUUUGCAGUAUGCUCGGUGGAAUUUUGCUCAUCUAUAUGUUCCUUAUGUGUGAUUCUCAAAUAAUCAUGCAGAUUACAGUUAUACUAAUUCUGGAUAGUUUUUACACAACUCAAUGGAAUUCCAGUUGUCCAUUGUCAGGGAAACAUGUUGUGAUACGAAUAUACCGUCAUUCAACUGCGAAUACCUGAUAUAUACUGUUUGAUGAACAUUGUCAAGGGUGUUGAGCUCAUUUUUUUGACUGCCAACAUACAAAAAGCUCACCACGCAGGGUCUACUAUUCGCGAAAUAAACGUAGUAUAAUGAACUCGGUCAAUUAGUAAUAGUGUUUCACUUGAUAUAUUGAUUAUCGUCAUUAUGACAUGGAAUGAUGGAACCAUUGGUAAAUAAAUUUCGAUAUGUAGCUAUUUGACAACUUUAAUCUAUCUUUUGCUUUUCUUUGUGCUGGGAUAAUAGAGCAUGCAUGGAUAUAUUAGUAUUGCCCAUUACGUAUGAGAAGUAAAUUGGUUUAAGAUUACAUAUGGCGGAAAGAAUCAUGGCCAUAAUCUUAUGAAUGAAUACAACAAUACAGCUGCAGUAUAACUGCUACUGCACUUAGUAUAUUUUCUCAUUCUCGCUGCUACUGUUGUUUCUAUUGAAAAGACAAGCACCAGAGAUAGAUACUGCUUUUGUCCCAUACUAAGACAAGUCUUUAAACCACAGAUAUGUGGCGCAAUGGUAGCGCAUCUGACUCCUGUCAGAAGGUUACGUAUUCGAUUCACGUCAGGUCCAAUCACCAGUCCGAAUAAUUGAAGUGUUAUUUUCUGCUUUGGUUGAGAGAUACACACUAUUCAGUUUAUUAUCUGGGUAUUUUGUAUAUAUGUAGUUGGAGAUCCUCACAACAUUGAGGGAGAAGCUAGAUUGGCUAUAAAGAGGUUACCUGCUUAUUUUUGUCUGCUGAAACUGAGAAAAUUCAGGGAGACCUAAGCAAUGCCAACCAUUAUAUUGUCUUAAGUUUCAUGGUAGGGCAAGGAUGCAGAAGUGAUAGUAAAUCUUGACACGCCAAACAUGCGUGAGUGGUAUCAAUGAGAGAGAUGCAAUGGGGAAAAUAUUUUUCCGCUUAACAGUUAAGAGCUAAAAGUAUAUCGCAAGUUCAAAAUCAAAUUGCUCACUGAAUUCAGCGAGUGUAAUCAGGUCCUUAACCCAUUAGAGAGUGACAGGGCACAAUUACAGAAUCAAUUAGAGCAGCACUCGACUCUAAAGCUGCAGGAUUGAGUGUAUGUAAACCUUCAGCUUAUUCCUACAUAUAACUCAUUACCCAGUUACUUGAUAGAAUUAGAGAUUACAUAUUUUCAGGGUCUCAAGAAAUGGGAACUGCCCAAGCCCUGUUGGAAUUUGUGAAGGCAAGACUUGGGUAAAAUUUGGAUACUUACGCCUUUCAGGUUGAGGAACCACAGAAGUUUCGGUUCUCCAAUAUAUCUAGAUGCUAUUAGAAGAUUGAAAUCACUUUCAGUUAUUACUAUGGUUGCAAUCGAUGGUCAAAAAGGGUCUGGCGAAUUUCAGAAGAAACAAAUAGUCAUUGAAGGUACAAAGGGUUGAUAUGGGAGUCACUCUAUGAAGGGAAUGGUGAAAAUCAGUAAAAGAGGUGUUGUAGAGGAACACAUGAAUACUCCGAUAAUUGUUAUUAUUACUGAAACAUUUGUAAGCGAAUACCGAGGUGUACUUACAUUAGCUAUUAACACUUCCUCUGGAGUGUUGAUCAAUCUGGAUUUACCAGAAGUCGAUGAAUUCAACAAAAAGGUAAAAUAUUCACCAGCGAGGCGACGGUACUGGGCUUGGUUGAGAACAAAUUAUGGUACUACAUGGCAUGCAUCAGAUGUAAUAAAAAGUUUGAGUACGACGAAGACGAGGAACCUUGGUGUAUCAAGUGCAAAAACAAAUUUGAAUAUGAUAUACCAUGAUAAGAAUGAAUAAUAUUUCUAAAUAAAUGGAUGGACAAUACAUCAAGACUUAUUAACGGCUUAGAAUAUACACGUGUAUAAAUUGAAUUUGGCAAUAAAGGGUGACAGAGAUAUGUCAGCGUUCACAGUGAUGGAAAAGACAGCAUCAAAGUUGAUGAAAUGCACCGCCAAAGAACAUAUUAACAGGCGAGAAAAGGCACACAAGUGAUUCAACUGAAUCAAGGACCACACCUUUAUUUUCAAUUUGGUAAUCCAGGAGUACAGUAUAAACAAACCUGACAAUUUUAUGAUCCAGAUAUAUUCAAUCCAUAAGGAUUCGUGGACUCAGAUGUUGAUACAGAAUACCAAGUAGCUUUGCAAGCGAUGGGUACUAAAACAUGUUGUGUUUUUUUUCAAAUAUGAAUUAUUGUUUACAUGUAAAACUCUCUUUCUCUACAGAGUUCAGGAUGCGAAAGAAAUGUUACACAUAUUACCAAAUAUAGGACAAGGAGACAUCUAAGGGGGAGGAAACGUGCAUUAAUUAACGAAAAAGGUAGCAAAGCAUCCAAACACACCAGCAGCGUAGACUGAGAAAGAAAGUAGACUCGGAUGAUAAAGAGUAGGCGGCCAAUGAUUUUUUGAAAACUAAUUGGAAGAAAUAAUGAAUUGGUUUACCUAUAGUUAUUUCUUUUCAAUAAUAACUUCUACAAUAAGGUUCGUUUACAUUUUUUUUUAGAUUUAUUUGUUUAAAGUUAGAAUGUUUAAGGUUGUUAUCCUAUGACUUUAUUUGGCAUACUCAUUUGAUUAUAAAUUUUUGUUUAUCUCUUUUA